GGAUGAACGCUAGCGGCAGGCUUAAUACAUGCAAGUCGUGGGGCAGCAUGAGUAGCAAUACUUGAUGGCGACCGGCAAACGGGUGAGGAACACGUACACAACCUUCCUUCAAGCGGGGAAUAGCCCAGAGAAAUUUGGAUUAAUACCCCAUAAUAUAUUUGAUAAGGCAUCUUAUUAAUAUUAAAGCUUCGGCACUUGAUGAUGGGUGUGCGGCUGAUUAGAUAGUUGGCGGGGUAACGGCCCACCAAGUCUACGAUCAGUAGCUGAUGUGAGAGCAUGAUCAGCCACACGGGCACUGAGACACGGGCCCGACUCCUACGGGAGGCAGCAGUAAGGAAUAUUGGACAAUGGACGAAAGUCUGAUCCAGCCAUGCCGCGUGAAGGAUUAAGGUCCUCUGGAUUGUAAACUUCUUUUAUAUGGGACGAAAAAAGGGCAUUCUUGUUCACUUGACGGUACCAUAUGAAUAAGCACCGGCUAACUCCGUG
rnacentral:rRNA from 1 species